rnacentral:rRNA from 1 species
CGGGUCUUGACAUCGGAUGCAUAACUAAGAGAUUAGUGAAGUCCUUCGGGACAUCCAGACAGGUGGUGCAUGGUUGUCGUCAGCUCGUGUCGUGAGAUGUUGGGUUAAGUCCCGCAACGAGCGCAACCCUUAUAAUUAGUUGCUACGCAAGAGCACUCUAAUUAGACUGCCGUUGACAAAACGGAGGAAGGUGGGGAUGACGUCAAAUCAUCAUGCCCUUUAUGACCCGGGCUACACACGUACUACAAUGGUGUUUAACAAAGAGAAGCAAAGCCGCGAGGUAGAGCAAAUCUCAAAAAAACAUCUCAGUUCAGACUGCAGGCUGCAACUCGCCUGCACGAAGUCGGAAUUGCUAGUAAUCGUAGGUCAGCAUACUACGGUGAAUACGUUCCC